rnacentral:rRNA from 1 species
GCGGUAAUACGUAGGUGGCGAGCGUUGUCCGGAAUUACUGGGCGUAAAGGGCGCGUAGGCGGUUAAUUAAGUCAGGUGUGAAAACUGUGGGCUCAACCCAGAGACUGCAUCUGAUACUGGAUAACUUGAGUGCAGGAGAGGGCAGUGGAAUUCCUAGUGUAGCGGUGAAAUGCGUAGAUAUUAGGAGGAACACCAGUGGCGAAGGCGGCUGCCUGGACUGUAACUGACGCUGAGGCGCGAAAGCGUGGGGAGCGAACAGGAUUAGAUACCCUGGUAGUCCACGCCGUAAACGAUGGGUACUAGGUGUAGGAGGUAUCGACCCCUUCUGUGCCGGAGUUAACACAAUAAGUACCCCGCCUGGGGAGUACGGCCGCAAGGUUGAAACUCAAAGGAAUUGACGGGGGCCCGCACAAGCGGUGGAGCAUGUGGUUUAAUUCGACGCAACGCGAAGAACCUUACCAGGGCUUGACAUCCCCUGACAGCGCAAGAGAUUGUGCAUUUGGUUUUCGGACCGACAGGGAGACAGGUGGUGCAUGGUUGUCGUCAGCUCGUGUCGUGAGAUGUUGGGUUAAGUCCCGCAACGAGCGCAACCCUUAUUCUUAGUUGCCAGCAUUACGGAUGGGCACUCUAAGGAGACUGCCGGUGACAAACCGGAGGAAGGUGGGGAUGACGUCAAAUCAUCAUGCCCUUUAUGUCCUGGGCUACACACGUGCUACAAUGGCCUGUACAAAGGGUAGCGAAGCCGCGAGGCGGAGCCAAUCCCAAAAAGCAGGUCUCAGUUCGGAUUGCAGGCUGCAACUCGCCUGUAUGAAGUCGGAAUCGCUAGUAAUCGCGGAUCAGCAUGCCGCGGUGAAUACGUUCCCGGGCCUUGCACACACCGCCCGU